AUACAGAGGGUGCAAGCGUUGUUCGGAAUUAUUGGGCGUAAAGCGCGUGUAGGCGGGAUGGUGUGUCGGGUGUGAAAGCCCUCAGCUCAACUGAGGAAGUGCGCCCGAAACUGCCAUUCUUGAGUGUCGGAGAGGGUGACGGAAUUCCCGGUGUAGAGGUGAAAUUCGUAGAUAUCGGGAGGAACACCAGUGGCGAAGGCGGUCACCUGGACGAACACUGACGCUGAGACGCGAAAGCGUGGGUAGCAAACAGGAUUAGAUACCCUGGUAGUCCACGCCGUAAACGAUGAGUGCUAGCUGUUGCGGGUGUUGACCCCUGCAGUGGCGAAGCUAACGCAUUAAGCACUCCGCCUGGGAAGUACGGCCGCAAGGCUAAA
rnacentral:rRNA from 1 species